CGUACAUCCAGAGAACUUAGCAGAGAUGCUUUGGUGCCUUCGGGAACUCUGAGACAGGUGCUGCAUGGCUGUCGUCAGCUCGUGUUGUGAAAUGUUGGGUUAAGUCCCGNAACGAGCGCAACCCUUAUCCUUUGUUGCCAGCGGUUCGGCCGGGAACUCAAGGGAGACUGCCGGUGAUAAACCGGAGGAAGGUGGGGAUGACGUCAAGUCAUCAUGGCCCUUACGGCCAGGGCUACACACGUGCUACAAUGGCGCAUACAAAGAGAAGCGACCUCGCGAGAGCAAGCGGACCUCAUAAAGUGCGUCGUAGUCCGGAUUGGAGUCUGCAACUCGACUCCAUGAAGUCGGAAUCGCUAGUAAUCGUAGAUCAGAAUGCUACGGUGAAUACGUUCCCGGGCCUUGUACACACCGCCCGUCACACCAUGGGAGUGGGUUGCAAAAGAAGUAGGUAGCUUAACCUUCGGGAGGGCGCUUACCACUUUGUGAUUCAUGACUGGGGUGAAGUCGUAACAAGGUAGGCGUAGCGAG
rnacentral:rRNA from 1 species